UACGUAGGGUGCGAGCGUUGUCCCGGAAUUAUUGGGCGUAAAGGGCUCGUAGGCGGUCUGUCGCGUCGGGAGUGAAAACUCAGGGCUUAACCCUGAGCCUGCUUCCGAUACGGGCAGACUAGAGGUAUGCAGGGGAGAACGGAAUUCCUGGUGUAGCGGUGGAAUGCGCAGAUAUCAGGAGGAACACCGGUGGCGAAGGCGGUCUCUGGGCAUUACCUGACGCUGAGGAGCGAAAGUGUGGGGAGCGAACAGG
rnacentral:rRNA from 1 species